rnacentral:rRNA from 1 species
CCCCAACGGCGCUAUCGAUGUUCGGAAUUACUGGGCGUAAAGCGCACGUAGGCGGAUUAGUAAGUCAGGGGUGAAAUCCCGGGGCUCAACCUCGGAACUGCCUUUGAUACUGCUGAUCUCGAGUCCGGAAGAGGUGAGUGGAAUUCCUGGUGUAGAGGUGAAAUUCGUAGAUAUUAGGAAGAACACCAGUGGCGAAGGCGGCUCACUGGUCCGGUACUGACGCUGAGGUGCGAAAGCGUGGGGAGCAAACAGG